rnacentral:rRNA from 1 species
AACGGCCGUACCACGCUGAAUAUACCGGUUCUCGUUAGAUCACCGAAGUUAAGCAUCAUUGGGCGCGGUCAGUACUUGGGUGGGUGAACACCUGGGAACACUGCGUGCCGUU